rnacentral:lncRNA from 1 species
UGGGACACGGAUGAAUGGCAAAGUCUUCAUUGAGGCUCUAUGGCCCACUAGUGGGAACGUCAGUGGCGAAACAUGGUGGACGUGUCACCUGGUGACCCAGGCCGGUCCUGAAGGGAGCCAUCAUGGCCUAUUCCAAGCCCUCUAGAUCUGAAGGCUUCCGUGGCUGGAGAACCUGUGUGCUUAUUGCUCUGACUGAGGCCUCACUUCAGGCUGGUCCUUACAAAUUCUUGCAGAAACAUAACGUGAGUGGCCUAAGCAGGAAAGAGCAUAUGACACUGGCACAGCUUACCAAAAAUUCUACCUCUGUGCUGGAGAUUCUCGCAUGGAGCCAAGUGCAAUGAGGAAAAUGAAACACAACGGAAUGUGUCUUCAGGUAUGACUGGAUCCAGCGGCCAGACUAUGUCACCAAGUGUCCUCUCCCACUGCAUCUCCGGGUUUUGCCAUCCUUUGUGCUGGCUGCAGUCUCCUGUUAGGAGUUCCCAAUAAUGCAAGGCCUCCAAACAGAUACUCCGCAACCCAGAAUAAAGCUUCAGUUUUUGGAGAGUUGCAUCAAAAGUCCUGGAGUUGGAUUCUGUUGGACCGUAGGCUUGUCACUGAACCAGCCACUGUCUCCAGGAGCACAGAGGACACCAACUGACCAAUCCUGAGUCGUGCCUUUAACCGCCCCCCAAAACACACACAAACACUUUGGGGGCAUGGGGGGUGAAUCAGCCCCACCCACACUGCAUGGAAUAGAGGAAAAUCCGGCUGUUAUGUCUGGAAUGAGAGAAAAUGAUGCUGAGGCAGGACAAACAAUUGGUGUCCCUUGUACCUGCUGUUUGUCCAAGCGAAUUAGAGCCCAUGGUGAGGGAGAUGAUUCAGGGUAAAUCCUUUGCUUUCAAAGAAAAGCUGAGUGCACGACUGCAGCAGAGGAAGGUGAUGGGCUUCUGGAAUCACUUAAUGUGAUUUGGGCCCCACAUUCAUUCCUGACUUCUGCCUCACCUCAGGCUAGCAGCAGUCUCUCCCCACAGGUGCGAGGUUACCCGUGGGGGUCUGACUCUAGCCCAUGGAGGCAGGGUGGCAGGGGAGACACAUGGCAAUGGACAGUAGCCCCGAAAGAGACUUCAGGGAAGCUCUGGGCCAAGCCCCUCCCUACUGUCCCCACCCAACACCUGCAGAGGGAGAGAUGAAGGGUUGGGGACCUCUCAUCUCCUGAGGCCUCAGAGCCCCCAGGUCCUGUCCCCUGUAGGCAGGUAUGAGACUGUGCGAAUCGGAGGAGACUUUUGCCAUUUGGCCUUGAGAAGGGCC